rnacentral:rRNA from 1 species
CCUACGGGCGGCAGCAGUGAGGAAUAUUGGUCAAUGGCCGCGAGCCUGAACCAGCCAAGUAGCGUGAAGGAUGACUGCCCUACGGGUUGUAAACUUCUUUUGUCAAGGAAUAAAGUGCGGCACGUGUGCCUUUUUGUAUGUACUUUAUGAAUAAGCAUCGGCUAACUCCGUGCCAGCAGCCGCGGUAAUACGGAGGAUCCGAGCGUUAUCCGGAUUUAUUGGGUUUAAAGGGUGCGUAGGCGGGUUGGUAAGUCAGCUGUGAAAGUUUGAGGCGCAACCGUAAAAGUGCAAUUGAAACUGGCAGUCUUGAGUGCGGUUGAGGUAGGCGGAAUGCGUGGUGUAGCGGUGAAAUGCAUAGAUAUCACGAAGAACUCCGAUUGCGAAGGCAGCUUAC